rnacentral:rRNA from 1 species
AAAUAGAUACCCUCGGUAGUACACGCCCUAAACCGAUGUCAACUGGUUGUCGGGGAAGCAAUUCCUUGGUAACGAAGCUAACGCGUGAAGUUGACCGCCUGGGGAGUACGGCCGCAAGGUUAAAACUCAAAGGAAUUGACGGGGACCCGCACAAGCGGUGGAUUAUGUGGACGUAAUUCGAUGCAACGACGAAAACCUUAACCUACCCUUGACAUGUACGGAACCUCGCAGAGAUGUGAGGGUGCCCGGAAAGGGAGCCGUAACACAGGUGCUGCAUGGCUGUCGUCAGCUCGUGUCGUGAGAUGUUGGGUUAAGUCCCGCACGAGCGCACCCUUCGUCUAUUAGUUGUCUACUACUUACUAGUUGGGUCGUACUACUAAUAGAGACUGCCGGUGACGAAACCGGAGGGAAGGGUAGGGGUAGUG